CCUACGUGAGUCAGCAGUGAGGCAUAUUGGUCAAUGUGCGCUAUCCUGAACCAGCCAAGUAUCGUGAAGGAUGACUGCCCUAUGGGUUUUAAACUUCUUUUAUAUGGGAAUAAAGUGCAGUAUGUAUACUGCUUUUCAUGUACCUUAUGAAUAAGGAUCGGCUAACUCCGUGCCAGCAGCCGCGGUAAUACGGAGGAUCCGAGCGUUAUCCGGAUUUAUUUGGUUUAAAGGUAGCGUAUGCGGGUUGUUAAGUCAGUUGUGAAAGUUUGCGGCUCAACCGUAAAAUUGCAGUUGAUACUGGCAUCCUUGAGUACAGUAGAGGUAGGCGGAAUUCGUGGUGUAGCGGUGAAAUGCUUAGAUAUCACGAAGAAAUCCGAUUGCGAAGGCAGCCUGCUGGACUGUAACUGACGCUGAUGCUCGAAAGUGUGGGUAUCAAACAGGAUUAGAUACCCUUGUAGUC
rnacentral:rRNA from 1 species